rnacentral:rRNA from 1 species
UACGAAGGGGGCUAGCGUUGCUCGGAAUCACUGGGCGUAAAGCGCACGUAGGCGGGUCGUUAAGUCGGAGGUGAAAUCUUGGAGCUCAACUCCAGAACUGCCUUCGAUACUGGCGAUCUUCGAGUCCGGGAGAGGUGAGUGGAACUCCGAGUGUAGAGGUGAAAUUCGUAGAUAUUCGGAAGAACACCAGUGGCGAAGGCGGCUCACUGGCCCGGUACUGACGCUGAGGUGCGAAAGCGUGGGGGAGCAAACAGG